ACGUACACUCCUACGGGAGGCAGCAGUGGGGAAUAUUGGACAAUGGGCGCAAGCCUGAUCCAGCCAUGCCGCGUGAGUGAUGAAGGCCCUAGGGUUGUAAAGCUCUUUCACCGGAGAAGAUAAUGACGGUAUCCGGAGAAGAAGCCCCGGCUAACUUCGUGCCAGCAGCCGCGGUAAUACGAAGGGGGCUAGCGUUGUUCGGAAUUACUGGGCGUAAAGCGCACGUAGGCGGAUCGAUCAGUCAGGGGUGAAAUCCCAGGGCUCAACCCUGGAACUGCCUUUGAUACUGUCGAUCUGGAGUAUGGAAGAGGUGAGUGGAAUUCCGAGUGUAGAGGUGAAAUUCGUAGAUAUUCGGAGGAACACCAGUGGCGAAGGCGGCUCACUGGUCCAUUACUGACGCUGAGGUGCGAAAGCGUUGGGAGCAAACAGGAUUAGAAACCCGGGUAGUCCCAUGAU
rnacentral:rRNA from 1 species